rnacentral:lncRNA from 1 species
AAAAUCUGAAUGCUGCAGGACCAGUUGGCUUAGCUCAUUAGCCCAUAUGGGGUGCUUACGUGGGUGGAUCGGGUUGCAUAGUGUGGUGUCCCUUUCAUUGUUUGCUACCAUGUCAGCGGUUGCGGAUUUAGGAUGAUGUCAAAUAUUAUCGCAUGGAGUAAAAAAUAGGGUGUUUGGUCUAGUGGUACGAUUCUCGUUUUGAGUGCAAGAAUUCGUGAGUGUGGGACCCCUAUUAGAUUAUACCGCAUGGAGUCAAAUAACGGACGUAAGUACUUGUCACUCAGAUAAUUUGGAAGCCAUAUA